rnacentral:rRNA from 1 species
GACGAACGCUGGCGGCGUGCUUAACACAUGCCAGUCGAACGGUGAACUCCGCUUGCGGGGGGAUCAGUGGCGAACGGGUGAGUAACACGUGGGCAACCUGCCCUCAGCUCUGGGAUAACUCCAAGAAAUUGGGGCUAAUACCGGAUAUGACCGCUGACCGCAUGGUCUGGUGGUGGAAAGAUUUAUCGGCUGGGGAUGGGCCCGCGGCCUAUCAGCUUGUUGGUGGGGUAGUGGCCUACCAAGGCGACGACGGGUAGCCGGCCUGAGAGGGUGACCGGCCACACUGGGACUGAGACACGGCCCAGACUCCUACGGGAGGCAGCAGUGGGGAAUAUUGCGCAAUGGGCGAAAGCCUGACGCAGCGACGCCGCGUGGGGGAUGACGGCCUUCGGGUUGUAAACCUCUUUCAGCAGGGACGAAGCGAAAGUGACGGUACCUGCAGAAGAAGCACCGGCCAACUACG